rnacentral:ncRNA from 1 species
UGAUAAAGGCAAACCGGCCGAAAGACCGGGACGCAAAGCCAGGAGACUACCGCGGGUGCCCGCCAUGUCCGUCCGGCUGCCAC